rnacentral:rRNA from 1 species
CGAUGGAUACUAGGUGCCGGGGAUUAUUUUUCGGUGCCACAGCCAACGCAUUAAGUAUCCCGCCUGGGGAGUACGGUCGCAAGGCUGAAACUCAAAGAAAUUGACGGGGGCCCGCACAAGCGGUGGAGUAUGUGGUUUAAUUCGAUGCAACGCGAAGAACCUUACCCAAUCUUGACAUCUGGGGAACCUAUAAGAAAUUACAGGGUGCUUUUCGGAGAACCCUAAGACAGGUGCUGCAUGGCUGUCGUCAGCUCGUGCCGUGAGGUGUUGGGUUAAGUCCCGCAACGAGCGCAACCCUUAUUUUUAGUUGCCAUCAAGUAAAGUUGGGCACUCUAAAGAGACCGCUUCGGUUAACGGAGAGGAAGGUGGGGACGACGUCAAGUCAUCAUGGCCCUUACGAUUGGGGCUACACACGUACUACAAUGGUGCAUACAAAUGGUUGCGAGACCGCGAGGUUGAGCCAAUCCCAACAAAUGCAUCUCAGUUCGGAUUGGAGUCUGCAACUCGACUCCAUGAAGUCGGAAUCGCUAGUAAUUCCGGAUCAGCAUGCCGGGGUGAAUGCGUUCCCGGGCCUUGUACACACCGCCCGUCACACCACGAAAGUCAGUUUUACCNGAAGCCGGCGGGCUAACUCAUCUGAGAAGCAUCCGUCUACGGUAGGUCCGAUGAUUGGGGUG